rnacentral:lncRNA from 1 species
GGGUAAUUGCACUGGAUAUACAUAGAUAAAACAUUAUUUAGGUAAUUGGUUAUGACUGUUUCAAUUUUCAAAUAUUCCAAAAGUACCCCUACAACACCUUAUCUCACUCUACGUUUACUAACUUCCACCUCCUCCCUCCACAAGAAGACCUUCCUCUCCGACACUUCUCCGAUCAAUUCCACCAACACCCUCAGCCUCACUUCUCCGAAACACAGUCGCUUCUCACCGCCAGCUUUCUCAACCUCCCUCCCACUUCGAGGUUUCUGGUCUGAUUAAUUGGAUUCCAUGGCUGCAGACUUCUAAUAUGUUUGCUUAAUGUUGCAGUAUUCAUAUGAUCUGUUGCUUCAGUAUCUACAUAGGACGGAAUCUACUUUAAUGCUUGGUAUUAUUAACGAGCACAUCAAUUUCCAAGGUAAUUGUGUUCCUUUCUCGUAUAUGUGCCUAAGCAUGUAGCAGAUAUCUGAGUAGUAGACUGAAUCCAGCUGUGGGUCAUUUGUUACAGUCUACUCGGGACAGCCUAAUUCCUCAUCUGAUGACAUAGACGCUGUCACCAUUGUUGGAAGUUUUCAGGAGACAGCUGAUCACGUCAAUCAAAAAGAAAUACAGUGGGGAGUAUGUACUUUUCCUUACAGCUUCUUACUCUCUUUUUUUUUCUGGAGGGAUAAUAGUUUAUACUUCAUCCCAGCGAAGAUCUUAUAUUUGCGAAGUCACUAACUACAAAUGCAUUUUUAAUUUCAUAGUUGCUUGAAGACUCGCUGGAAGAUCGCCUCGAGAAGACGGGAAGUCUACUGUCUGACUCUGAGAAGGGGCAAGGAGAAAGUAAAGACGGGGACAUUGAUGAUAGUAAGGUGAUAAGUAGCUUCAACUUAGAUAAAUAAUUUUCUGGACGAAAAGUUCCAUAUUCACUCGUCAGUUGAUACCGUGUUCAGAAAAGAUCCAACGAAAUUGGAAAGCAAGGCUCUUCCUUAAAAAAGUUAAAGAAGGACAAAGCAGGAAAUGCAACAGCAAAAGUUGCACGUCAGGAGACCAGCAUAGUAUCGCCGGCACCACGUGUGAAACCGGAACUUGCCUUGCCAGUCAUGUAAUUUUGAAUCCCUUAAACUCAUUUUUAUGUUAGAAUUUUAUGAGAGAGUAAUGAACAGGCAAUAUGUAUGGACGAUGCAUGACUGAUUAAAGGAGAAAGUAAAUAUAGUAGGUGUGAAAAACUUAUUGGUGGAAGAAAGCGACUUUCUCCAUGCAACCUAGUUGUAUUUCAUGAUAAAAUUAAGUGGGAAACCAAACUUUGUAUUGACGAAUGAUCUACAAACCUCUUUAGAUGAUAAAGAAAGAAGAGCGUGGAAGUUUCAUAAAUAUUUUUUUCCUUUAACGUUUCACACAAAUAAAAGGUUGAUCUCUCUCAUAAAGAUAAGUUAUUCUUUUUCUUUUUGGACAAAAGAUAAGUUAUUUUUAAGUCAUAUAGUUCUAGUUAAAGUAUCUCACUAAGAUACAUAAUAAAAUGGAUCACACAUAAUAUUGAAACAGAUCUGCCCAAGAUUAUCAUUAAUCAAAUAAAGAGAUUUUCAAACCGAUUAUCACCCCAUGUUGUUUGUGAGUUGUUUACAAGAUGAUAUAUAAUAUAUUGGUGUAGAUCUCCCUGGAUGAUUUUUUACUAACACACAACUAAUUAUAAAAUGUCAAAACGUAAUGAUAGCAAAAUAUCCAGGGUGAGGGGCAUACACUUGCUUAACUAAAUCCUAAUAACGCUUUAUCCUCUGUAAGUAGUUUAAUCUACGGUCUGGCCUCUUAAUAGAGAGUAUAAAAGAACAGAAGAAAAAAAAGAUUGAAGGAAAGACCCACAAGAGAAGCUAGAGGAGACAGAAGUGGCCACUUACCACGUGGAGAUACAUAAAGUAUUCAUAAACUGACCUGAAAAUAAUUUAGUUGGUCCAUUUCCAGUACAUAUAUAUAUUUUCUUGGGUAAUUGCACUGGAUAUACAUAGAUAAAACAUUAUUUAGGUAAUUGGUUAUGACUGUUUCAAUUUUCAAAUAUUCCAAAAGUACCCCUACAACACCUUAUCUCACUCUACGUUUACUAACUUCCACCUCCUCCCUCCACAAGAAGACCUUCCUCUCCGACACUUCUCCGAUCAAUUCCACCAACACCCUCAGCCUCACUUCUCCGAAACACAGUCGCUUCUCACCGCCAGCUUUCUCAACCUCCCUCCCACCGCAGCCACGGCUGACUCUGAUUUCGCGCCUCCGCAUCGCGGCGGAGACAGAUCCGCCGCCGCUGCUACGAACCGACGGUGGCUCUCCUUCGACUCCACCGAGAUCCAAAACA